rnacentral:rRNA from 1 species
UGCAGUCGAGCGGUAAGGCCCUUCGGGGUACACGAGCGGCGAACGGGUGAGUAACACGUGAGCAACCUGCCCCUGACUCCGGGAUAAGCGGUGGAAACGCCGUCUAAUACCGGAUACGACCCUCCACCUCAUGGUGGUGGGUGGAAAGUUUUUCGGUCGGGGAUGGGCUCGCGGCCUAUCAGCUUGUUGGUGGGGUAACGGCCUACCAAGGCGAUUACGGGUAGCCGGCCUGAGAGGGCGACCGGCCACACUGGGACUGAGACACGGCCCAGACUCCUGCGGGAGGCAGCAGUGGGGAAUAUUGCGCAAUGGGCGAAAGCCUGACGCAGCGACGCCGCGUGGGGGAUGACGGCCUUCGGGUUGUAAACCUCUUUUACCACUCACGCAGGCUCCACGUUUUCGUGGGGUUGACGGUAGGUGGGGAAUAAGGACCGGCUAACUACGUGCCAGCAGCCGCGGUAAUACGUAGGGUCCGAGCGUUGUCCGGAAUUAUUGGGCGUAAAGAGCUCGUAGGCGGCGUGUCGCGUCUGCUGUGAAAGACCGGGGCUUAACCCCGGUUCUGCAGUG